rnacentral:rRNA from 1 species
UAGUCCACGCCGUAAACGAUGAGAACUAGAUUUUGGUGGUAUUGACCCCUUCAGAAUCGCAGCUAACGCAUUAAGUUCUCCGCCUGGGGAGUACGGCCGCAAGACUAAAACUCAAAGGAAUUGACGGGGGCCCGCACAAGCGGUGGAUUAUGUGGUUUAAUUCGAAGCAACGCGCAAAACCUUACCUAGGCUUGAACUCCUGAGAAGUCGGAGUAAUGUCUGAUGUGUCCUUCGGGAAACUCAGUGAGAGGUGCUGCAUGGCUGUCGUCAGCUCGUGUUGUGAAAUGUUGGGUUAAGUCUCGCAACGAGCGCAACCCCUAUCGUUAGUUGCCAGCAUUAAGUUGGGGACUCUAACGAGACUGCCUACGCAAGUAGUGAGGAAGGCGGGGACGACGUCAAAUCAUCAUGGCCUUUAUGCCUAGGGCGACACACGUGCUACAAUGGUAGGUACAGAGGGUAGCGAAGCGGCGACGUGGAGCCAAUCCCAGAAAGCCUAUCCCAGUUCGGAUUGG